rnacentral:rRNA from 1 species
UGGGGAAUCUUGCACAAUGGGGGAAACCCUGAUGCAGCGACGCCGCGUGAGCGAUGAAGCCCUUCGGGGUGUAAAGCUCUUUCGGCAGGAACGAUAAUGACGGUACCUGAAGAAGAAGCUGCGGCUAACUACGUGCCAGCAGCCGCGGUAAUACGUAGGCAGCAAGCGUUGUUCGGAGUUACUGGGCGUAAAGAGUGCGUAGGCGGUGCUCUAAGUUUGGUGUGAAAUCUCCCGGCUUAACUGGGAGGGUGCGCCGAAAACUGGAAUGCUUGAACAUGGGAGAGGAAAGCGGAAUUCCUGGUGUAGCGGUGAAAUGCGUAGAUAUCAGGAGGAACACCUGCGGUGUAGACGGCUUUCUGGACCAUUGUUGACGCUGAGACACGAAAGCGUGGGUAGCAAACA